AUUGAACGCUGGCGGCAUGCUUUACACAUGCAAGUCGAACGGUAACAGGGUGCUUGCACCGCUGACGAGUGGCGAACGGGUGAGUAAUACAUCGGAAUGUACCCAGUAAUGGGGGAUAACGCUUCGAAAGGAGUGCUAAUACCGCAUACGCCCUGAGGGGGAAAGUGGGGGACCGCAAGGCCUCACGUUAUUGGAGCAGCCGAUGGCUGAUUAGCUAGUUGGUGAGGUAAAGGCUCACCAAGGCGACGAUCAGUAGCGGGUCUUAGAGGACGAUCCGCCACAAUGGAACUGAGACACGGUCCAGACGCCUACGGGAGGCAGCAGUGGGGAAUAUUGGACAAUGGGGGGAACCCGGAUCCAGCCAUGCCGCGUGUGUGAAGAAGGCCUGUUGGUUGUAAAGCACUUUAAGUGGGGAGGAGGCUUACCUGGUUAAUACCUGGGCUAAGUGGACGUUACCCACAGAAUAAGCACCGGCUAACUCUGUGCCAGCAGCCGCCGUAAAAC
rnacentral:rRNA from 1 species